rnacentral:lncRNA from 1 species
AAGGCAUUAUGCUUGCGGCCCUAUAAGGAUGAGGUCUUGCUUUCAAGGGAACAUCAGCCAGAAGGAGACUAAACAACUUUGAAACAAUGUCGAAGUUUCAAGCUGCAAGAAGUAUUAGCCGAGAGGGAUGGUGACUAAAGGUUCUCCUGGAUUCCCCGUUUCAGACCAUAAUCCCCCCGUGAUACAGAUGUCAGGGGUUCCAUCCUCAGUCCAUGUGAAUGAGUGGGCCAGAGUGUCCCGCGCGUGCUGUAUUUUCUCGCCAGCAAGAAAUACACGCAGGACACUCGGAUCCUUCUGCAGACAAGCUUUAAUGCAUCAGCUUACCAGAGCGGAGACUGAGCGGAGACACUGAACCAAGAAAACCCAUCCCUAAUAAAGGCUGGCCAGCCGCCUGGGACGUGUUACCC